CAGCUGCUGGGGCAGGUGGCACCUCCACCACCUGCAGCCUGCACACAGAGCACCCACCCACCUUCAGUAGAGCGUGGGGGUCCCUUUAGCUCUAUCCCUUCUCCAGGAACCCAUCCCACCCGCAGCAAUGUUCCACUCCCUCUCCACAGCUUUUCCAAGGCUCCAGCGAUGCUCUUCCCAUCUCAUUGCAGCUCCCAGCAACUCCUGUAGGUAACACCUGCGUAAAUGGAGGCAGCCACAGACCUCUCUCUGAUAAGCAGGAGGAUCAGCCUUCAGAAGUUUAGGAAGUCCUGCCACAAAUGAAGAUACAUGAGCUUCCAGACAAAACCUUCUUAAAUCUGCAUAUAGGAAGAAACAAGAAAAACGGACCAAAAAGAUGUACCUAGUGUUUCCCUUCACCUUCCCAGAUGCAAAGCAAGGUGCUCAAAGAGGACAGAAUUUUUUUAGUGAAUUGGAUCCAAGAGCCAUUUCAUCACGUUCAGGGCAGAUGUUAUCAGGAAGGAUCAUUUGUAUUGGCAGUCCUUCCAAGGUUACCCUCUAACCAUGUUGAAAUCAGGUACUGAAAGAUCACAAGAGGUGGAUGUUGGCAGGGACCUCUGGAAGCUUUCAAGUCCACAUCCUCUGCUCGGAACAGCUGCAGCCAGGGCUGGAGUCCAGGGCUCUGCCUAGUCCAGCUUUGAAUAUCUUCAAGGGUGGAUACUCCAAAAUCUCUCUGGGUUUUGUCCAUUGCCUCUGAUCCUGCCACAGUCCUGUCACUGCAGAGAAGAGUCUGGUUCAUUCUUCUUUCCUUCUCACCACAACUAUCAGGCCCAGGUGAAGGAAUUACCUCUGCUGGUGAAUAGUCUUUUCCAAAGAAAACAAUUUGCUGGAAAGAAUGAAGCUCUUCAACCCAAGCGCCGUAAUGUCAUCAGUCCUCUUUCAUCCUGCAGUGGAAGGAGAAGUCAUUAUGGUCCUGAGUGUAGAAAGAUUUGUGGCCUAAAUAAUAUAUUUGCAAUAAAUUGGUUUCUUUGGGUUAUUCUUAGAUGCUGCUUCCCAGAACACAGAUGGUUUACUGUCAAAAUGUGCUUGCUCCAUAUAUGCAAUAAUGCUUACAGUAAGUUUUGCAAGAUUUAAAAUGGCUUUAAUCAGUGAGAAUAAUCUUGCAUGUUUCUCUGGAGAAUUGCAGUCACAGAACAGUGGAGGUUGCAAGAGGCCUUUUGAGGUCACAUAAUCCAGUCUCCUCCUCAAAGCAGGAAUAGCUUUGAGUAACAAAGUUAGAUCUGACUGCUCAGGUUGCUUGUCCAGCUGAGCUUUUAUAACACCUUCAAGGACACAGCCUCUCUACACAAUCUGUGCCAGUGCUAAAAACUCUAUUAAUUUUUUCUAUUUAUCUGUCCGGAAUUCCUGUUCUGCAACAUGUGACCACUGCUUCUUUUCCUUUUGCUGUACUUCUCCAGGGAAAGUCUGGUUCCAUCUUCUCUUGGUUUCCUCUUAGCAGUGGGAGGCUGCACUCUGGCCCACUCUAACUUAGCUUUUCUUUUGCAAGUUAAGCAAAGUCAGCUCCCUCAGUCUCACUUUCUGCAGUGCAUUCCAAGACCAUGCUGGUGACCUUCCACUGCUCUUAAUGCAAACCUAAUCCUUGAAGCAAACCCAACCCCCACACAUCCUUCCUGGCUAGUUCUUUUCAACUACUUUGUGUUAACCAGGCAACUGGAUGGACUUAGUUCAUUGAGCAAAACACAGCUCGUGCCCUAGCUUCAUUUACGCUUCACUCUGCUGCAAAGGCAUGGAUCUCACCUUGGUGACACUGGCAUGAAUUUCCUAUUCAUGAUGUACACUCUGUGUAUGAGGAGUUGAGGGCUUUCAACUAAAGAGAAAUCACUGAGUGUGUUGCGGGGGGAAAAGGAAUUCUGUUUCUAUUCCCAGACUAGGAGAAAGCAAAAAGCUUCUCUUAACCCAGAGGUAGCUAAUUUUUUUUCUUUUUAAGAAGGUUGUAACGUUUAAAGGAAUAAAUGUCCAAGAGUGCUUCUUGGAAACAUAACAUUUAAAAAACAAAGCAAACCUUUCGCUUUGCCUUCACCAAAGAGUUCUAUCAAGGAUCCUUUUGCAGAGGAUGAGAUGGGACACCAAACAACACAUGGCAUUGGUGGCAUGGCAUUCAUGUCCUUCUCCUAGGUUAGGGAAAACCCAUCCUGAAGUAUUUGAUCCUUUUUAUACACCCAUAUAUUUCUCUGCAGUAUAUUUAUGCAUGCAAAGAUGCAUAGCUCUAACAGGAGAGGCUCAGAGAGAUGGAGUCCAGUCAAAGCAGUUUCAGACUAUUCAUAGGACAGAAGCUUGUUGUCAUCAGGCCAGGGCCUGGCCAUAUCAACUGGCUUUUAUGGGAGAGGAAGUUGUGGUUCUGUCCUUUGGGAGCGAGUGAGGGAAUGGAGGGAAGUAAAAUAUUUACACAAUAAAUCUUUUUUUUCCAUUCCAUUUAAAUUACUAAAUUUUUUAAUUUCUCUGUACCCCAAGGGAAAGAAAAGUUGCUCCCUUGGUAGCUUUUUUCCUCAGGUCAGUAAUACAGACAGUGAGCAUGAAAGAAAAUAAACUCUAGCUAUGUAUAAAACAGGUAGCACAGAAAUGAUGCAUUCAUUUUAUUACUGCCAUUAUAUCUUACACAUUUGGCUUCUCAAGAUAAUAGCCAUAUUCAUAAUUUAUACAGUCUGUGUUUGAAUAUCCCUUGAAGAAGGUAUUUAAGGAGAAACUUCUCUGCUAGUCAUAGCACAACCACAUUGAAAGCAGGAUGGGGUGUUGGUCAAUGGAAUGUCUCUGUUUUAGAAAUUACACCCUAUUAUCAGGGCUGCUAGUUUCAAAAUCAGGUUAUGCAUGCCCUGCAGGUAUAAUACCAGAAAAUAAAAUAGUGUACCUGGCCCUUUUAUAUAACACAAUGUAAGUACAGAUAGAGGAGGAGAAGUGAUGAUUCAUUAUCUGUUCAUCCAAAACCCAAGAGUGCUGAUUCACAUACUACAUCCUAAAGCUUCACAAGUCUAAACAUAUUCUUGACUAUCAUCAAAUCAUCUUUCCUGUGCACAGGAGAUGGGCUAUGCUUUCUGUCACCGAUCUUGUUCUAAAUCAAAACUCUUGAUCAGCCUUAGAAUCAGUAGCAUUUAAUCUCUCUUCUAGUAUAUCCUACUUCUACCAUCCCUUGUUAUAAGUUUUGCAAGUGAUAUGGUACUUGUUCUGUCCUCUGUGUUUUCAAACAGCAUAUGGAACUUUAAAAAUACAUAAUAUAGUUGAUAGCAUACUACAGCUUUUUAUUCCAGGCUUAUGCUUGUGCCUUGUUUCUUAUGAUAGCCAUAUACAAAAAUGCAGGCAAAUCAAUCCUUCCUGCAGGACAAAGUCAUUCUGUCCAAGACAGGGUGCUUUCUGGACUCAGAUAUUUAUGGUUUUUACUUUUACAUCAGUUGGAUGAAGUUAGCAAAGGUUCUUUCUAUGAUUUUUAUCAAAAUAAGACAUUGAUCUCUAUUUUGUUUAUACUGUACAAACUAUUAGAGUUGGGUGCAAAGCCGAUAAAAAACAGCUGUUCCUAAUGAAAGUGCAUGAGACCUACUCCAGUGUAAGCACAUCAGACUGGUGUGAAGUAUGAAUAACAUCUACCACGUAAAUAUAAAACGUCCCUGCCCUGAUUCUCUGCUGACAUUUCUAAUGAUACCUUCUCAGCUAAGUCAAUAGAGAUAGUCUCUUGCUUUGGUGGGUCUUUGAGAUCCUCUGUUCUCAGGAUCAUCUCCUCUCUUUAUUCAUAUGAAUUGGAAGAGUAAUUAUACUCCUGAAGCUCUUCCCCUGAACAAUGUAACCACACUCAGUGUGUAACCCUUACAGUGCAACUAAUAACAAGGGUGGGAACUCCCACUUAAAACUCCUACCAGGCUUUUCUUGAUGGCACAAGUUGAUGCUUAGAAACACAUUCAGUGGGAUGUGUUCCGAGUUUAGGGACAAUUGUACUUUCACUGUGCAUCAUUCCCA